AUGUGUGAACAAAAAAAAAAAAACAAAGGCAAAAAAUGGAAUAUUUUGGAUCUCAUGAUUAUAAAUUUUAUGAGUUGGACCGGUGUCCUCUCUGCUGCGGCCGUGGCCUUCUGUCUGAAGAAAGACCCCGAUAACAAAGAUGAUGCUCUUUUGGAAGCAGCAAGGACCAACAACGCUCAGGAUGUAGCCAUAUAUAAGGAGGAUAUAGGAAAGAUGGAGAGAAAGACAGACACUCUUUCUCAAAUUGAUGAGAUUCUUCGACCUGUAGAGGACUUAGAAAAUCGGAUCCGUGACCGGAUUUUCAAUGGUCACUCAGAAUCCGGGUGCAGUGGACCAAGGGUGGCUGUUGAAAACGUGACAGCCUUUAGAGAAACACCCAGGGGCAGCCUGCAUCCACUUGCUGAUUUUUUUGGGGAGGUGCAGCCGCAGCGGGAACUGAGCUUGGCAUCUUCAUUGAGCUCUGAUGGAAGUUCAGUAACACCUCGAGACAGUCGCACUCCCGAGGAGCUCAGAGCUAUCCCCUUAAUUAAUAUCCCCUCUCCUCCGCCACCAUUUGCUCCGUGUCCUCCAUCAUCCUCUCCACCUCACAGAAGUCAGAUUCCAGUGAGGUCAAAAAACUAUAGAGAAACAGGAAGAAAAAGAUACAGGGGCUACGAUACAUCCGCACCCUGGCGCGGCAUUACUGAGGGGAGUUGGAGUUAAGCCUCCAUACAGUUUGCUUGGGAGUGAUAGAAGAGGUAUACCAGCUGUUUUUCUCUACAUCUGCGUUUAUGCCACCCUCUUCUGUCCAUGUUUGCAAGCGUGCCCUGUCUCAUGCAUCUUUGUAUCAGGUUUGAUUUCUACCUGCUGAAAUUUCCUCUGAUUCUGCUGCUUUUGUUGUUAACUACCAUGGUUGAUUUCCUUCUACAAGCGUCCAGAAUAAGGAGAGACUGAGAUGGUGAGAGGAGAUGGGACAGAGGCUCUCCAUCCCUGAUGAAACACCAGGACAGAUUCAGCAGUGUGUGAGGAAGAGGAGGAGAAAAGGGAGCCAGCAGCAGCUGAGAGAUGGAGAGAACAGGGGGGAGAAUAGACACGUGUUCUCUGUAGUGGAGGGAGUGCUAAAAACAUUUAAAACAGUUUCUAGAAAUUUGAUUUUUUUUGUGUAUUUGCAGAAGUAUCUCCAACACAAACUAUAACAGCUGCAUACAGGAAACCACUCACUUAUGUUUACCCCGCAGGACAGGAUCUGACAGGGAAAGAAGGAAAAAUCAAAGGAACCAAGGACAACUUUGAUAAUGCUUUGAUUUAUCCAGAAUAUAUUUAGUUAAAAUAUUUUCAUCACAGUGGGAUUGUGAAGGUUUUAAAUGGGAAAAGUAUGCAGCUCAUUUAAAUAAAAAGGUUCAAAGACCUGUGCAAAGUUGUACAUUUAUAAAGUGUGUCAGUAUUUUCUAAGAAUGUCAUGUUUCUGCAUCAUCUCUCUCCUGUUAGAGCCUCUUACCCAAACAUCAGCCUGUUUAAUGCUCUGAUAUCUUCACAUCAUAAGUAAAUUAUAUUGCCCGGUUUUCUGUCCAAUAAAGCAAUAUUUACUGCAUCAGUGUGACUUCCAUUUUAUGUGAAACGUACAAAGAUCAAAUCUUUUUAGUUUUUUUGGGGGAUAUUGCCUUUAGAUAUAACUAAAGCUUUCAGCCAGUGUUCAUUGUGUAUUAAUAAUUGUCUGUUAGAUAGUCACAAGUUAUAAAUGAUAUGAAAUAGAAAUAUAUAUACCUUGAAUUUUAACUGAAAUAUAAUAUUUGAGACAACUGAGUUACAUUUCACAACUGAGGAUUUUUUUUUUUUUCAAAUAAUGGUGUGUAUAUGUAGUAAAAUGUCAAUAAUGUAAAUCCUAUUAUAUCUGUACCAUCAAAAUGAACAGAUUCAUUUCAACAGCUACACUAGCAAACUUCUACUAGCUAAACUUAGCGUAAUUGGCUAAGGGGACUUAGGGCAUAGCAUUUAUUAAUAAUUACAUUUCAUUAUCUAUAUCUUUACCACACAUUUGCCACACAGGUGUAGAUACUGUAGGUGGAGUGAAUGCCUAAAUUGUACUGAUUAGAAUAUCCUGGACAUUCAAUGCUAAGAUUCAGCAUACUGAAUUAAAUAGUGAAGCUGAAGGAUGAACGCUGUUUUCCCACUCAAUCAAAGUUAACGUGAGGGUUCCCGAUAUCCUGGUUAAGGACAAGUCACGUGCAAUCACAUGGCAGGAUGCUGUAAAAGGACCAAACUUCUGUCAGGAGAACAACUGAGAUAAUCCAUCCACAAUAUAAGGGUUAGUCAUUAAUGCAUUGCCUGGGCUGUAGUUACAUCGUAAGGUUUGGGGACAUUCCCCCCCAAAACUGACUGAGUUUUAAAAUGCAGCAAUAAAAACCGAGGAGGCAGACAGUGAUCACUGACUGUUUUUAGAGGCUUGUUGAGAUUAAAUAGAACAAGAUAUUAAGCAUUAAAACAUGUUAAAAACACAACAGCUUUAUUAAACGUAGAGUAAUUUGGGCCCGGAAGCAGGAUUCAUCACGUCAUCACUUAAAGACCGGAUAGUUAAACCAUGAGCUAAUUAAAACUAAAAUUAAAAUUAAAACUGGAUACGAAUAUUUUAGGCAGAAGUAGUUUUAAAAGACUGACUGAUUUAAAGUGGAAAAAAUAUUGAUAUGUAACAUUUUUAUAGCACUUUUUGGGGCGGGACCGUUUCAAGGCCUUAGGGACACGAGUGUGAGGUUUCUUUUUUUUAAAUUGCCCCUGCAAAAAGAACAAUGAUGGAUCAAAAUGAAUGUUGGUGCCAAUCUUUGACCCAUCUAAAGGCCUAAUUAUAAUAACAACAAUCAAAUUUUUUUUUAAUGUAUUUUAUGGAAAAAAAUUUAACUUUUUCGGUUUUUUUUGUUAAAAAAACCUGUUCGGUUAUGUAAAGAUACUGGAAUUUAAAGGGUUAAACCCCACGAAAUAUAAUUAAAACUUGAUAUGAAUAUUUUAGGCAGAAGUAGUUUUAAAAGACUGACUCAUUUAACCCUCGUGCUCCCCUUCGGGGCAGCUCCGGACCCCGGGGGUCCCAGAGUACCCCUGGGUUGCAUUUCACAGGCCGAGCAUCAGGGUUGGCUCCCGCGCCCCGUACACCCACGUUUCCCUCCCUGAAUGCCACUCCCGUUUCAAUUUUUCUCCUAGUUUCAGGCAGGCUCUAUCAUGUUCGUCCAUGGGAGGCCGCUGUUAAUAAAACAGUAUAUCUUAGUAGUAAAUAUGGUCAGUGUCACGUUCCUGGGUCUGUUGACCCAGCGUUUUGAGUUUUAGUUUAUUUUGAUGUUUAUGGUUUAUUUCUACUUCAUUAGGUUAUCUAAGCUCAUUUGUUUAUUUAGAUUCCCCUUGUGUUUUCUUCCCCCGUAUUUAAGUUUCCCUCGACCUUUGUGUUUCAUGCUGCGUGUCUUUUGUUAUCAAGUUUGUAUUGUCAUGUCUGCUUCAUGUUUCCUGUUUUAUUUUGAAGGAGUCGUGUGUUCUUUGUUCAUUGUAUUUAGUUUCACUUCCCUUGUCGUGUCAUUAGGCUCAUGUCAGUCAGCUGUUCCUACAUGUGUUUCCACUUCCCCUAAUCACCUCCUGUGUAUUUAAGUCCUCUGUUUUCAGUGUGUCAUUGUCAGGUCGUCUGUUGUCCACGCCAUGUUUGCCAUGCCAUGCCUCGCCAUGCCUCGCCUCCAAGUUUCUUGUCUAGGUUUUUCUUAUUGUUUGUUUAGCUUUCCCAGUGUUAAUUUUGCUUCAGUUUGCCUUGCCUUUUGUUUGUACCUUUUACCAGCCUCAUUAAACGGCACGCUUUUUGUUGACAUUCACGUUUUGCUCCCUGUUCCUUGGAGUCUGCAUUUUGGGUCCUUUUUGCAAUUCAUACAGUCUGCCCGUACAAAUUGCAAAGUACGUACAAACUCCAAAACACGUACAAAUUCCGAAGCACGUACAAAUUCUGAAGCACGUACAAACUGCAAAGCACGUACAAACUCCAAAGCACAUACAAAUUCCGAAGCACGUACAGACUCUAAAACACGUACAAAUUCCAAAGCACGUACUUUGCAGUUUGUACGUAUUUUGGAGUUAGUACAUUCUUUGGUGUUUGUAGAUGUUUUGGAGUUUGUACGUGCUUUUUGGAGUUUGUACGUGUUUUUGAGUUUGUACGUGCUUUGCAGUUUGUACGUGGUUUGGAAUUUGUAUGUGCUUUGGAGUUUGUACGUGUUUAAUUGACGAGAAACAGCUAAAGACAAUGCCACGUUGUGAUUUUUGUGGCAAGUCCGUGAGGACACUGAAGGGUUAUGUGCUUCAUUGCAAACUUCAUCGAAAUGAGCCGCGAUGCACAUUUAAGUGUUUUGGAGCCGACUGCAGGCAGACAUUUUGCAAGUAUGGGGCUUUCAAGGCGCAUUUUUAUCGAAAGCACAUUUCUCCCACUCCUGUUACCGACAAGAUUACGCUUAGCACUUUUAAAUGCGCAGUGGCAUUGUGUGAACAUCAGUUUACAGACUCGAAAGUUCUAAUAGCUCACUUGAAGGACCAUUUUGAGGAAGGACGUGAGGUUACUAGUCCACUAAGAGGGUGCACAAGUGUUUUCACAGUCAAAUCUUCAUUUACCGCCCACAUGUCACGGAAACAUAAAAACUUUGCAGAUGGAGGCAUCAGUGAU
rnacentral:lncRNA from 1 species